UGAGUGCGCAGGCGCGGGUGUGCUGCCAGCGACAGUGAUAACACACACAGCACCUUCACUCGCUCUCCUUAUUUAACAAUUUUUCCACAAUGGGUGAACCACAGAGCGCAUUGUUACUCCGGAAACAGUUGGCAGAAUUGAACAAGAAUCCAGUUGAGGGCUUUUCGGCGGGGCUUAUCGACGACAACGACAUCUUCAAAUGGGAAGUUCUCAUUAUAGGCCCUCCUGAUACACUUUAUGAAGGCGGUUUUUUUAAAGCACAUCUAAUAUUUCCCCGAGAAUAUCCCCUCCGACCACCUAAAAUGAAGUUCAUCACAGAUAUUUGGCAUCCAAACAUUGAGAAGAAUGGGGAUGUAUGUAUCUCAAUUCUUCAUGAACCUGGGGAUGAUAAGUGGGGAUAUGAAAAGGCCUCGGAGCGCUGGCUUCCCGUGCAUACAGUUGAGACCAUCCUCAUCUCAGUCAUUAGUAUGCUAGCAGAUCCUAAUGAUGAAAGUCCAGCAAAUGUCGAUGCAGCGAAAGACUGGCGUGAAGAUUACAAUAUCUUUAAGAAGAAAGUAGCACGUUGUGUUCGGAGAAGUCAAGAGGAAUAGGAACUCUAGACUAUUAGCAUAUCCCUGAGAAAUCCUCAUGCCCUUGGCAACUAAACACUUCAGGUAUUAAGGAUGAAAUAGUGGUGUGGUGGUGAUCCCCGAGAGACCAUAAAUGGUCUUUUAAGUGUGGACAGCAACAAAUGCCGACCUGUGACACACUUGUAAGGAACUGAUGAUAUCCAAAUGUCUUGCAACUGUUGGCAAACAGUGGGAGAGGUCACCAAGAUGACCACAGCACUUUAAGAAAAUGCAAAUUGGUUUAUAAACAUUAAUCAAAAAGUGUUCUUUAUGUAUAUUUGUGUAUAUAUAUAUGUAAAGAAAUAUUCACAACUUACAAAGAAGUGUGCAGAAAAGAGUUUUUUUGGUGAUGCAAGAAACUGGGACCAGAUGCUAGACUGAGUCAAGUGUUUGGCAUCCUUGUGGCAUUAUGUCUGAUCAGGGUCACAGUGAAUUAUCAGUGAUCAUUUUUAAGGUGAAACCUCUUCAACUUACCCCAGGGAAAGAGUAGCAGUGAAAAAAGCUCAUAGGUAUAUCUUAGACAUUGACUUCACCCUAGUUUAAGUCAAAGCAAGGCUUCAAACUCGUUUAGCCUUUACUUUACAUUUCCUAUCUUAUAAAGCAGUUUAAGUGUAAUUUUUUUUGUUUCAGAUCAACAGGUAUUUCCUACCUUUCAAAGAGCAAUAGUAAGGAAGUAGUGUGUUGCCUUGCUCAGGAUGGACUCCGGUGAGUUAAUGUCUAGAAUAUGACAGUUUGUGGAGGUUAAGACAGGAAAGAGAGAUUGCCUUUCCUUACUCGAAUCCACAGUGCUCUUAUAGAUAUUAAACUACUCAGUCAAGCCCUACUUUUAGAAAGUUUUGGAUUUUGUUACGCACCCUGAAUUCAGCUUCGAUUGCAGCUUUCUGGCUAUCAUCUGAUGGCGUCAAGUCUCAUCAAGUUGGCUUUUUUGAGUUGGUCCUGAGCAAGAGAAGAUGGUAGUUGUUUAACAAUGGAAACCCUCCAAAUUUCACCGCAAGACUUUUUAAAUGUAUUACUUGAUGAUCAGUACCUUUGGAUAUUUGGGUUAUGGCCAGCCCUCAGCCCAAUUGGGAUAGUCACCAGCUGAAUUUUGUGGUUGUUGGUGUUGCCAAGAGUUGCUAGAAGCGCCGUCUACAACAGACACCAUUUACCUACAAAUUUGGCUCCAUUUUGGUUCUACUUUUAAGAGGAAAGAAGGUGGAUCUCAUCAUCUUAGAAUUAUCAAAUUCAAAAAUACUAGAUAGGUCAUAUUUUUUAGAUAAUGAAAUUAGAAUUAGGUAUGCAAUUACUGUACUGUCUCGAGCCUUAAACUAUAUAGUGGAAUGUGCAGUAGCACAAAAUGGGAAUACAAUUGAAUUUUUCUCUCAAUUUUUAAUUUUAUUUUUGUGAUUUUUUUUAUUUUUUUUCCCUAAUGAAUUUGUAUGGGAGUAAUAUAAACUUUUUGCUCACUGAUCAUGGAGGGGGCAGAUGUAGUCUUAAACUAUAAAAAUUCUUCACUAAAAGUUGUCAAGCUCAUGGAAAGAGACUGCUCAAGGUACCUCUAAUUGUUACCAGCCCUGUUUAAGUUUAGGCCAUUAUCUUCAGCAAAGCACAGAGUUGAGCUACCCAUGAGGAAUUGCUUUCAUUCUGUUUUUACACGUUUGAUCUAGACGGGUUUCUUCUACACGUCAGAUUUACCUUCAGGAGGGAAUACCUUUUAGUGUGCCGUUCAUUUUUUUUUAGUUUUAUGUUUUGUGCCAAAAGAAGAAUCUUAAUUUUGUUCAUAGCUGUAAAUGGAUGCACAGUCGGGUAUUUAUCAGGCUUAUGUGAAUUUUCUGGGGCAGCAGCUUAUAUAAGUAACAUCAGAAGUAAAAUGUGCAUCAACAGACUACAUAAAGGUCGUCCUCCUGUUGUGUUUGUUCAGGUCAGUAAAUCAACAGUUUUUAAGUACAGCUCAUAUUACCUAGCUUGACUCUGCCAUGUUAGUUGACUACAUGUUCUUCUGUAGAACCCCCAUGAAAGAUUUAAUACCUCAAAGUGUUGAGUUGUCUCAUUGUGCAAACGUUGGGCUCAGGGAGCGACAGUGGUGUCACCCAAAAAUAGUCGAGAGCGAGUUUGUCAAGAAUCUGUCAUUGUUAAGCCUUAAGGGAAUGUGGGUGGAGCACUGUCUUAACCCUGUCUCGGCAAAUAAGUGGAAGCCCCAGUAUGAAAACAAAAAACAAAGUGUGAUAUGAUACUGGACAUUAUGAACUGCUACUGUGAACAUUUGUUUUAUACUUUUUUUCCAUAUUCCUGCAAUAUGUUUUAAGUAACAGUUUGUAGCUGUCCUUAUAUUCAAUAAACACCAAGCUUCAA
rnacentral:misc_RNA from 1 species